UGAGGAAUAUUGGUCAAUGGGCUGAGGCCUGAACCAGCCAAGUCGCGUGAGGGAAGACGGUCCUAUGGAUUGUAAACCUCUUUUGCCGGGGAGCAAGACGGUCACGAGUGACCUACUGAGAGUACCCGGAGAAAAGCAUCGGCUAACUCCGUGCCAGCAGCCGCGGUAAUACGGAGGAUGCGGGCGUUAUCCGGAUUUAUUGGGUUUAAAGGGUGCGUAGGCCGACUGUCAAGUCAGUGGUAAAAUUCAGAGGCUCAACCUCUUCGAGCCAUUGAAACUGGCGGUCUAGAGUGGGCGAGAAGUAUGCGGAAUGCGAGGUGUAGCGGUGAAAUGCAUAGAUAUCACGCAGAACUCCGAUUGCGAAGGCAGCAUACCGGCGCCCGACUGACGCUGAGGCACGAAAGCGUGGGUAUCGAACAGGAUUAGAUACC
rnacentral:rRNA from 1 species